AUGGAGGCAGCGGGUAGAAUACGACUAAGUAUGGAAGCAAAGCUAUCUCCUGGACCCCCAAUGUUAAAUCUUCGCCGACAUGGUGUUAAUGGCAGUUGGCAUGAAAAGACUAAUAAUGUUGCAAGUGGAAAUUUUCUUGUUGUUAAGAGGCGAGGGGUUGUUGGUGGCAUUGAUUAUGGUUUCAUUGGUGAAGUUAAGGAAAUUGAUGUUUCACGAAUAAGAGAGAGGCUUGAUAGAGAUAGCAUAGUCAUUGUCAGCAAUAUGGGAUACUCCAGCGCAGGAGAGGUCUUAAAUUGCAAUACCUAUGAAGUUGCUAUGGCAUGUGCUUUAACCAUAGAGGCAGAUAAACUUAUUUGUAUUGUUGAUGGACAAAUAUCUGAUGAGCAUGGUCGUGGUAUUCAUUUCAUGUCUGCCAAGGAAGCAAACAUGUUAAUCAGAGCACGUAUUGUGCAGAGUGAGAUUUCUGCAAAUCAUGUGAAGGUUGUGGGUGAGGAAGAUAUUAGACCUCCCCAUCAAACAGGAUAUAGAACUAGGUUUGAAUGGAUCAGCCAUUUUAAUAGGUUUACUGCAUCUUUCCGGAACGGUGUGGGUUUCAAUAAUGGAAAUGGUUUGUCUGACGAGCAAGGGUUUGCCAUUGGUGGGGAGGACCUGUUGAGCAGGUCAGAUGGCUACCUUUCAGAGUUUGCUGCAGCAGCAUAUGUAUGCCAUGUAAGUUUGGAGCUUCAUGUAUGA
rnacentral:rRNA from 1 species